UAAAAAAGUUUUUAUUUAUUUAUUUGAGAGAGAGAGAGAGAGAGAGAGCAGGAGAGAGAGGGAGAGAGAAUCUGAAGCAGAUUUUGCACUGAGCGCAGAGCCUGCCAUGGUGCUCCAUCCCAUGACCGUGAGAUCAUGACCUGAGCUGAAACCGAGUCAGACCUUAACCAACUGAGCCCCCCACAGGCGCCCCUGGAAGGAGGGCAUUCUGCCUGGAAUCCAGAACUCCUGACUCCCGUUCCAGUGCUCUUUUCUUUACCCCAUGAAGUCUCUUGACCCAAAGGUGUUAUUCUAGACAUUGCUCUUUUUUUUUUUUUUUUUGAGUCAGAGAUGGUCUUGCCACUUCUAAUGGUGAGAAACAAAGCUUUCUGAGAGCCUCUGAUAAGCUUACUGGACUCCUCUUGUGCCCUCUCUAAAAUGUAAGUUUAGUGCAGAGAUUGCUGACCCCACUCAUUCUCUUCUAGGGCUGGAUGGGGAGCAGAAAUGAAGGAAGCUGAUCAAGGAUGUAACAGGCUUUCAAGAGCUACUUAAAGACCACCAGGCUUUGGAGAGCCCAGAAUACCCUCCCUGCUCCUUUGCUGAGGCCUAAAAAGGAAAGUAACAUGUUAGUUCUGGAGCAGCCAAGACAGGUAAGAGUUAAAAGUGAAAAGUUCCUAAAGGAACAA
rnacentral:lncRNA from 12 species